rnacentral:miRNA from 1 species
UGAGGAGGACACUGUGCCUGAGA